rfam:Triticum aestivum genome assembly, contig: Triticum_aestivum_CS42_TGACv1_scaffold_572396_7AS
AUGGUACUCCCUCCGUCCGGAAAUACUUGUCAUAGAAAUGGAUACGAAUGGGUGUAUCCAGAACUAAAAUACAUCUAGAUACAUCCGUUCCUUGGACAAGUAUUUCCGGACGGAGGGAGUAUUGA